rnacentral:rRNA from 1 species
GAUGAACGCUGGCGGCGUGCCUAAUACAUGCAAGUCGAGCGAAUGGAUUAAGAGCUUGCUCUUAUGAAGUUAGCGGCGGACGGUGAGUAACACGUGGGUAACCUGCCCAUAAGACUGGGAUAGCUCCGGGAAACCGGGGCUAAUACCGGAUAACAUUUUGAACCGCAUGGUCGAAAUUGAAAGGCGGCUUCGGCUGUCACUUAUGGAUGGACCCGGGUCGCAUUAGCUAGUUGGUGAGGUAACGGGUCACCAAGGCAACGAUGCGUAGCCGACCUGAGAGGGUGAUCGGCCACACUGGGACUGAGACACGGCCCAGACUCCUACGGGAGGCAGCAGUAGGGAAUCUUCCGCAAUGGACGAAAGUCUGACGGAGCAACGCCGCGUGAGUGAUGAAGGCUUUCGGGUCGUAAAACUCUGUUGUUAGGGAAGAACAAGUGCUAGUUGAAUAAGCUGGCACCUUGACGGUACCUAACCAGAAAGCCACGGCUAACUACGUGCCAGCCGCCGCGGUAA